rnacentral:rRNA from 1 species
UACGAAGGGUGCAAACGUUGCUCGGAAUUAUUGGGCGUAAAGCGCACGUAGGCGGCCCAGCAAGUCGGAAGUGAAAUCCCACGGCUCAACCAUGGAAGUGCUUUCGAAACUGCUGGGCUUGAGUACAAAAGAGGAUCGCGGAAUUCCCGGUGUAGAGGUGAAAUUCGUAGAUAUCGGGAGGAACACCAGUGGCGAAGGCGGCGAUCUGGGUUGAUACUGACGCUGAGGUGCGAAAGCGUGGGGAGCAAACAGG